CGGCGUGGAUAAGACAUGCAAGUCGAACGGAGAUCUUGAAUAGCUUGCUAAUUAAGAUCUUAGUGGCGGACGGGUUAGUAACACGUGAGAACCUACCCUUUAGACAGGAAUAGCCCAUGGAAACGUGGAUUAAUGCCUGAUAGUCUCUACGGAGUAAAUGGUGCCUUCGGGUAUCGCUAGAGGAUGGGCUCGCGGCCUAUCAGCUUGUUGGUGAGGUAAAGGCUCACCAAGGCGACGACGGGUAGCUGGUCUGAGAGGACGAUCAGCAACACUGGAACUGAGACACGGUCCAGACACCUACGGGUGGCAGCAGUCGAGAAUCAUUCACAAUGGAGGCAACUCUGAUGGUGCAACGCCGCGUGGAGGAUGACGGUCCUAGGAUUGUAAACUCCUGUCAUUGGGGAGUAAGACUUAAGCGUUAAGAGCGUUUAAGUUUGAUAGUACCCAAAGAGGAAGGGACGGCUAACUUCG
rnacentral:rRNA from 1 species